rnacentral:rRNA from 1 species
GAUGAACGCUGGCGGCGUGCCUAAUACAUGCAAGUCGAGCGAACAGACGCGGAGCUUGCUCCUCUGACGUUAGCGGCGGACGGGUGAGUAACACGUGGAUAACCUACCUAUAAGACUGGGAUAACUUCGGGAAACCGGAUCUAAUACCGGAUAAUAUAUUGAACCGCAUGGUUCAAUAGUGAAAGACGGUUUUGCUGUCACUUAUCGAUGGAUCCGCGCCGCAUUAGCUAGUUGGUAAGGUAACGGCUUACCAAGGCGACGAUGCGUAGCCGACCUGAGAGGGUGAUCGGCCACACUGGAACUGAGACACGGUCCAGACUCCUACGGGAGGCAGCAGUAGGGAAUCUUCCGCAAAGGGCGAAAGCCUGACGGAGCAACGCCGCGUGAGUGAUGAAGGUCUUCGGAUCGUAAAACUCUGUUAUUAGGGAAGAACAAAUGUGUAAGUAACUAUGCACGUCUUGACGGUACCUAAUCAGAAAGCCACGGCUAACUACGUG